rnacentral:lncRNA from 1 species
GGGCAUGGAAGAAAAACAUUCAAGGAUGUUAGUGUUAUAGAUAAUCUUUUUUCAUCUGAGGGGCAGGGUCUGUUUUCCUAACGAACAAUGACGUGUGAGAUCGACAGUGUCUUAAUUUGAAAUACAUCACAUGCACAGAUUUAUAAAGAAAUCGUUAGAGGUUGGCAAUUGUCUACUUCGAUUCAAUGAUUUACUAAUGCCUCGAUCAUUUAUCUCGGACUACUAAAAAUGUUAACAGGCAAACAGAUGAAUGUGCAGAAAAAAAUUGGUAUGCAAAUGCCGCAGACAUUGAUUAAAAUUAAAUGCGCAGCUGUGAUUGGCUUGGUCUAUUUAUGCGAAUACAUCGAUCUGUCAAUCCGAAACUAAGAAACAAUUCGUCUGUAAAAAUUGUUUAAAACACAAAGCUAAAAGAAAUAAUGGAUCGAUACAAAUUUAGUGCUUUUUAUAUCUGUAAUGUAGACGCAACAGGUGAAACCACUGUACAAAAAAUGUCCAAACCGGUCAUGACUUGAGGCGCUGAACAAGUCAGUGAUAAUAAUUCUGCUGAGAGAGGUUAUCUUCCUACAGUUUGAGGAUACGUAACCGCCAAUGUCAACAGUGUACCACCAAUGAUAAUUUUUCAUAAAAGGCACUUCAAAAUCGACUUUUAAUAUUGGAGACGGAUCGGAAGGUGUUUGCAGUGGAGUAUAUCCAUAAUGUUGGAUGACAGCUGAUAAAUUUCAUUUUCCUACAUACUAUGACACGUAUGGAACAAAUAACCGAAUAACCC